AUUCCUUAAAAAUCAUCCCUGACCUUUGUCGUGGCCUGGGUUGAGAUUUGGCACCCAGAGGCAGCAGGGGCCUCAGCUUACCUCCCACUGUCAUGGUGUGGGAGGGUGAAACCCAGGCCCUGAUAGGC
ensembl:snoRNA